rnacentral:lncRNA from 1 species
CUUGGCGAGAGAGUCAUGUAGGGAUGGUAGCCAGCAAAGUUUGUUCCAGUUCGUCAGCAAGAACGACCACACCUUCCUGGCCACGACGCAACCAAGCAAAAGAUGGUCGAUGGUCUCUUGCUCCUGGUCACACAAAGGGCAUUGUGCCGGAUGAGGCAAAUCUCGCUUGGCGAGUCUAUCGGCCGUCCAACACCUAUUCCUCAGGGCCAACCACAUGAAUGCCUUGCACUUCGUUGGCGCCUUGGACAGCCAAAUCACCGUAGCCCCAGCUGAGAGCACACGGCCUCGAAAGAAUGCUGCAUGCGUCGAGGAGGCCGUGUAACUCCGAUUGCCGCUCCACUUCCAGCGAAAGGCAUCAUCAUCCUCCGAAAGUGUCACCCCAGCAACGAGAUUGUAAAUCGCAAGUAUAUCCACCUAUGCCUGGAGUGAGAGCUCAGGUUGGAUAGCCCGGAGCCAUCCAAAGCUUCGGCCACCGAGAGCCGCGAUGCCCUACUAGAAAUCUCCGAGAGCAGCGUUGGCGCCAAAUCCGCAAGCGAACGCCCAUCUGUAAGCCACGGAUCAUGCCAGAAUUGUAAUGUAACAUUCCAAAAUUUCAAACUUUUACAUGUGCAUUGCAUCCAUGAGCAUCAUGCCACAAUUGCAUGUUUGAAUUCAAACUUUGAAUCACAAAAGGCUUUAAGAGAUUUUGUUUACAUCCCUGUAACCUUUGGAUUUUCAAACCAAUAGGGUUGAUGUAUAAAAAGGGUUUAGUGCAUAUAUAAACUAUCCCAUAAUUCUUGGAUAAUUAUUUGGAGUUGAAAAGGUAUUUUAUUUAAACGGAUAUAUGGCCCUAAAGGCAUUUAUAGGGCAAAUGUAUAUUUACAUAUUUUAUUUUGAGGAGAAACUACUUCCAAAAGUUGUAUCAUGGUAGAACAUGAUUUUACAAAUUUUCUGGAUUUUAUUUGGGCCAAUUUGGAGUUCAAAAUCAAAAGUUAUCAAAGGAUUGAGAAAACAAAAGAAAAAAAAAGAAAAGAAAAGAAGAAAACCGGACCGAACCGGCCCAGCCCG